rnacentral:rRNA from 1 species
UACGUAGGUGACCAGCGUUGUCCGGAUUUACUGGGCGUAAAGAGCGCGCAGGCGGUCGUUCAAGUCGAGUGUGAAAGCCCCCGGCUCAACUGGGGAGGGUCACUCGAUACUGAUCGACUUGAAGGCAGGAGAGGGAAGCGGAAUUCCCGGUGUAGUGGUGAAAUUCGUAGAUAUCAGGAGGAACACCGGUGGCGAAAGCGGCUUCCUGGCCCGACACUGACGCUCAUGUACGAAAGCGUGGGGAGCAAACAGG